ensembl:lncRNA
CUUGCCAGUUGGUCAGGCUGGAAGACCAGCUUGCUGACCAGCUAAACCAACUGAAAAUCAGCAUAGCCAGACUGGAAGACCAGUUAAGACCAGCAAAUAAGCUUAGGCUGGUUUAAUCAGUGUUUUUUUUUUUUUUUUUUCAAAAGGAGCAUCAUGCAUGUUUCUUUUUCCUGACCCCAAACUCAUCAUUGUUUUGAGGUGCUGCUUAUGGGUUUUUAUGGGAAACUUUGUUACAUUUAGCUCUCUAGCUGUCAAGGUUUCAUCAAACAGAUCACUUAGUGUAUUAUAAUUUAUAAACACAUGUACGAUCUGGUCGCAGAAGGUUCUAGAACAGGCUUUUAGACCUUGGAUUUUCAGCCUCUCUGUACAGUAGAUAACAAGCAGUACUUUGUGACCGUUGUCCAUCAUUCUUACUCUAUGCAUAUGUAACGGCGAGUCCUGCCUUCCUUUAGCACUGCAGGGACUCGCCACGCUGCUCCUUCACCCCACUCCACUGUGACUAACAUUCGUAAUAUCCGUAACUCCUCCUCAUCACUGUCUACCUGCCAUCCACAUCGGCCCAACAUUGCUUUUGAAAGGGCUACCAGUCUUUUAAAAUGGACGAUACACUGGACGAUAUGCUGGAACCUCUCCUGGAACAGUGCUGUUUAGUUUGGUGGACUUGUAGAGCUGAAACACUGAAGAGUUGGGUCCUCCACACCCAUGGUAACAUUCCCGUCUGUUCUCUUUGUGACCCGUGGGGGGAAAAAAAUGACCUUUGUUUUGGGCCUGUCAUUCCUGUCAUUUGAGGAAACAUGCGUCCCGGUCAUUCCAUAGCUGUAUGGAGACAUUUUGUACGCUGUUUGUUGCACAAACUUUUUCAAGAAGCCUUCUGCACUGUAUAAAUGAUUACAUAGGAUGGGGGGGAGGGUAGCCGUUGCAGUCCAAUGAGUCUGAAUCAUGAUUUGUAAAUAUGUUUUCAUACAGCAAAACUUUUGAUAAGGUUUUAAACAUUUCUUGUAAAAUGAAGAUGUGUAUAUUAGUCUCCUGGACAAAAAAAAAAAAAGAGUGUAGACC